GCUCGUAGUUGGAUUUGUGGCGCGGCCGUCCGGCGGGGCUCCUUCAUUGGGGCCGUUUGUCUGGUUUUUCGGCCGCUCCAUUCUCGGGUAGUGUGUCGCUGGCAUUAGGUUGUCGGCUUCUUCACGCCCGUCGUUUACUGUGAAAAAAUUAGAGUGUUCAAAGCAGGCUUAGGCCAUUGGAUACAUUAGCAUGGAAUAAUGAGAUAGGGCCACGACGGUCUAUUUUGUUGGUUUGCACGUUGUGGUAAUGAUUAACAGGAACGGUUGGGGGUAUUCGUAUUCAAUUGUCAGAGGUGAAAUUCUUGGAUUUAUGGAAGACGAACUACUGCGAAAGCAUUUACCAAGGAUGUUUUCAUUAAUCAAGAACGAAAGUUAGGGGAUCGAAGAUGAUUAGAUACCAUCGUAGUCUUAACCAUAAACUAUGCCGACUAGGGAUUGGCGGU
rnacentral:rRNA from 1 species